UGGGGAAUUGUUCGCAAUGGGCGCAAGCCUGACGACGCAACGCCGCGUGGAGGAUGAAGAUUUUCGGAUCGUAAACUCCUGUCGAAUGGGACGAACAGAUUGCGGGUUAACAGCCCGCGAUCCUGACGGUACCGUUAAAUGAAACCCCGGCUAACUCCGUGCCAGCAGCCGCGGUAAUACGGGGGGGGCGAGCGUUGUUCGGAAUUACUGGGCGUAAAGGGCGCGUAGGCGGCGACUCAAGUUAGAUGUGAAAGUCCUGGGCUUAACCUGGGGACUGCAUUUGAUACUGGGUUGCUUGAAUUCGGGAGAGGAUAGCGGAAUUCCCAGUGUAGAGGUGAAAUUCGUAGAUAUUGGGAAGAACACCGGUGGCGAAGGCGGCUAUCUGGACCGACAUUGACGCUGAGGCGCGAAAGCGUGGGGAGCAAA
rnacentral:rRNA from 1 species